UUAGCGCACGUUAAAUCUUGCGUUUGUCCACAUUGUCAUUUGUGUACGUCAUUUAUUUUUAGCUACACAUUUCUGAUUAUUGCAACAACAAAAACAUAAGAUCCGUUUUAACACAAUUCACAGGCUCACUGAAAACAAUUGAGGACUGCAGACAAAAAUAUAAAUAUUGUAAGACGUGGACGAAGUUGGUAUUUGUAUUAACCGCUGAGCCUGCAGUGCAAGCAGGCUAACUAACCUGAAGCGUAGCUGAAGCCUAGCUUCUCUAAACGGCAUUAUUCACAGGAAAAUCUGCAUCUGUUCAGCAACUACAAAAAUAAAAAUGACUUCAGCCUCAACGAAGGUUGGGGAGAUCUUCUCAGCAGCAGGAGCUGCUUUCACCAAGUUAGGGGAGCUGACCAUGCAACUGCACCCCGUAGCUGACUCCAGUCCCGCAGGAGCUAAGUGGACGGACACUGAGAUUGGGCAGCUGAGAUCGGCCGUGGUGAGGUUUGGUGAUGACCUGAACUCCCUCAGCACUGUUAUCAAGGAACGCACCGUGGUCCAGAUUAAAAGUACAGUGAAGAGGAAGCUCUAUGACGAGACUGGGAUGCCCAUUUCCACCGACUCCCCAAAAAAGACCGCCAAGAAGACUGCUGUUACCAUGGCCACCACGGCAACCCCAACUGUCAUUGCUGUGCCGACCUCACAGGUUGUCAUGAAGGCAGGUGUCCAGGGAAAUGUGACUCUGGCCAUUCCCACCAUGAAGAAACAGAAGUCUGCAGCAGAUGUGACUCUGAGUGCUCUGAAUGACUCUGACGUCAACUCUGACCUGGUAGACAUAGAGGGACUGGGAGAGGGAUCCAACUCCAAGAAACUCAACUUCGAUCAGGGGUCUACAGACAAUCACGGACUACAAAGGAAAAACCAGCCAUGUCGCGGACAUCGUCUUGUUUCCGGUCAAGCUAAACACCUUCGCCCGCUUUGAGGAUAAAACAGUGCCACCUACACGGCCCGUUACCAAGGACUGUGGGCUCUCCUUCCCUGUGGCCGACACAACCUGAACCUCGACUCCAGCUUCAUUAUGAACUCGUGACCUGCCGCCCCUCUCUCGUUGACCAAGAUGUUUUCAUUAGCACCCUAUUUCCUACAUAGUGCACUACUUUUGACUGGAGCCUUAUGGACCCUGGUCAAAUGUAAUCCACUAAAUAGGGAUUAGAGUGCAAUUUGAGACGCAGCCCCCGACAUCUAUGGACAACAGCCGAGAUCCUUCAGAUUUGAUUUGGCGGAUCUCUGGGUGCAUCUGAAAUGGCACCUUAUUCCCUGCUUUUUUUAGCCAAGGCCUAUGAGGGGUGCAAAUUUCUCUUGCAUGAGGAAUGUGUUGGAUGUAAAUAAUGGUAUUUUUAUUUAUUCAUACAUGAUUGAUUUGUACUACACAAAAAGCUAAUGUGCAGAGCUGCAUGGCCAAGGACUACAGUGUGUAGAUUUUGUCAUCUUGGUUUAUGUCAACUAUAUGUGGGAUAGGUGGCCCUGCAAAUUCCCAUUUGACAAUGAUGCAACUGCAAACUUGUUUCCGGAAUCAUGUACUUGUGAACCCAGUGUUGAGCUCACCAGUAAAUUAAACUGGUAUUUGAAAAGCAUACUGGAUAAUAUAGAUGAACACAAUUGUGUCAAAGGACAGGAAUUAGUUUAGUGACGUUUUCUGUUUGAAACAGUGGGAUUAUUUUAUUGUUCAAAACAUGACCCAUGUAAUUUUGGGGGGAAAUAUUUCUCAGUAAGUUACUGACAAACAUUUGUAGUUUUAUAUAGAGGCUUACUCUAAAGACAAUCAAAUGAACUGUGCGAUUUGCUGAAUUAUGUUGAAUAAAUUGACAAAUUACCAACUAGAAUUUAACUUUCAGGAGUCAUGUCACUCAAUGUGUAGUCUUUAUUGAAAUUAGAUUUUAUACAAUUAAACACUGGUGGGCACAGUAAGUGUAAAAAUAAAAACCACCAAAUAGGUGCAGUGAUGUUUUAGUGUCAGCCAUAUUAGUAUGGCUCACACCCCUGGAGCAAAUUAGGAUUAAGUGCCUUUGCACUAGGGCACAGAGAUUUUUCACCUUGUUGGUUUAGGUAUUUGAACCAGCAACCUUUUGGUUACUGGCUCAAAGCUCGAACUGCUAGAGUGAUUAAAUACUAGGGCUGUGAAAUCAGGCCAAUUUCCAGCCAUUUAUGCUUACACAAUAUCCCCAACUUUAUAAAACGAAGUAAUAUAUUCAAAUUAUCACCAACCCUCAAUAGUACACAUAAUGAGGGACAGCCAUGGACAUAGUAAAAAUAUGCCACUGUAAUAGCACUAACACAGGGCUUCUUCUGAUAAAACAUAA